rnacentral:rRNA from 1 species
AGUGAACGCUGGCGGCAGGCCUAAUACAUGCAAGUCGAACGGCAGCACAGCAGAGCUUGCUCUGUGGGUGGCGAGUGGCGGACGGGUGAGGAAUACAUGGGAAUCUGCCCAGUCGUGGGGGAUAACGUAGGGAAACUUACGCUAAUACCGCAUGCGCCCUUCGGGGGAAAGCCGGGGACCUUCGGGCCUGGCGCGAUUGGAUGAGCCCAUGUCGGAUUAGCUAGUUGGCGGGGUAACGGCCCACCAAGGCGACGAUCCGUAGCUGGUCUGAGAGGAUGAUCAGCCACACUGGAACUGAGACACGGUCCAGACUCCUACGGGAGGCAGCAGUAGGGAAUAUUGGACAAUGGGCGCAAGCCUGAUCCAGCCAUGCCGCGUGAGUGAAGAAGGCCCUCGGGUUGUAAAGCUCUUUUGUCCGGAAAGAAAAGCACUGGGUUAAUACCCCGGUGUCCUGACGGUACCGGAAGAAUAAGCACCGGCUAACUUCGUGCCAGCAGCCGCGGUAAUAC